UACGUAGGGGGCGAGCGUUGUUCGGAUUUACUGGGCGUAAAGGGCGCGUAGGCGGGUUCUCAAGUCCGGGGUGAAAUCCCACAGCUCAACUGUGGAACUGCCUCGGAUACUGGGAGUCUCGAGGGUGGCAGGGGUAUGCGGAACUAUCGGUGGAGCGGUGAAAUGCGUUGAUAUCGAUAGGAACUCCGGUGGCGAAGGCGGCAUACUGGUCCACUUCUGACGCUGAGGCGCGAAAGCCAGGGGAGCAAACGGG
rnacentral:rRNA from 1 species